AAGAAAGAAAGAAAGAAAGAAAGAAAGAAAGAAAGAAAGAAAAUGAAUGAAUGAAUGAAUGAAUGAAUGAAUGAAUGAAUGAAUGAAUGAAGGAAUGAAGGAAUGAAUGCCUGCAGGAAGAAGAGGAAGUCGAGUACCAGGACAAGGGAGAGGAGUUAGAAUGCGUGGUGGCGCUCAAAGAAGGACCAGAGCUAGGGUAACUGAUCAAAGAGCUACAGUACUAUCAUUGACCAUGUCAUAAACCAUGGGCUAUCAUACAGAGAGGCUGGUGAACGAGUACAGCCAAAUCUCAGCCGGGACACAGUGGCAUCCAUUGUCCGUAUUUUCAGAGAAACCAACAGAUAUGAUAUUGCUUCUCCUACAGCAAAGUGAUUCAACAUCUACCUCCCUCAGGGGGCAGAGGAAAGCUCUUGAAUGAAGAACAGGAACUUGCUAUUGUCAACAUGGUGAUUGCUGACAAUGAAAUAAAACUGAAGGACGUUCAGUCCAGAGUUGUAGAGGACAACCUUGUCUUUGGGAACAUUGCAGCAAUCAGCAUAAAAUCAUUUCUCAGACUCGAACUAAACACAGAGUCCGAAUGAAACAACUAUACAAAGUUCCUUUUGAAAGGAACAGUGAGCGCAUCAAAGAACUCCGUCACCAAUUCGUCUAGGUAAGGUUAUGCAAUAAGCCUGGUUUGACAUCCAUCCAAGGAUGAUGUCCCAUUUCCUUGAUCCUUACUCCCCUUUCCUCAACCACAUUGAGGAGUUUUUCUCAGCCUGCUGAUGGAAGGUUUUUGACCAUCGUCCACAUGACCAAAUGUCCCUCCUGGAUGCAAUGGAUGCUGCAUGUCAAGACAUCACAGCUGAACAUUGCCAGGGGUGGAUAAGGCAUGCCAAAAGUUUUUUUCCACGAUGCCUUGCCAGAGAAGAUAUCAGGUGUGAUGUGGAGAACACGUGGCCAAAUGCAGAAGACCGGGCAGAUUAGAAGAUUACUUUGGUUUUUUUUUUUAUGUUUUUUGUUUGUUUGUUUGUUUGUUUGUUUUUUACAGUAUUAUAAUUCCGGUGCUUUCUUUAUAAUGUCAAAAGACUCUUUUAUAAAGUCAAUUCUGUGUCUGUAUUUUUUUUUAAAUGUACAUUUUAUAAAGCUACUCUGAGAUGGUCA